rfam:Cellulophaga algicola DSM 14237, complete genome.
GAUUUCUAUCUUUGGAGUCAAUGAAAAAUUUAACUGUAAAUACAUGGUGGUGGAAUAACUUACGAAAAAACGCGUGAGCAAAGCACCAUUGUAUUAAAUAUAUAUAUAAGGCUUGUC